UGCGUCUCUAUGGCACCGAGGG
rnacentral:piRNA from 1 species